AAGAUGCUAGUAAAAUUGCCAUUACACUGCUUUGUCAAGGCAUAAUUGCAAGUUAGAGUCUUGCGUAUCUUA
rnacentral:tRNA from 1 species